rnacentral:rRNA from 1 species
AUGAAGGCUCUAUUUUGGAAUAUUAGGGGUUUCGGCGCUAGGGGGCGUAGGGACCAGCUAAAAGACUUGGUUCGUUCUGAAAAUGUUGAUAUCAUUGGUCUUGUCGAGACUCUCAAACCCUCCUUCUCCCCAAAUGAACUCUCUGCCGUUUCUGGGACCGAUAGAUUCGAUUGGAACUUUGUGGUUCCUGUUGGUCAUUCGGGUGGUAUUCUUCUUGGCACUAAGAAAGAUGUUUUUGAUUUUGUCGCUUUUGACCAUGGCAUUUUUUGGGCUAGCACGGUGGUUUCUCACCAAAUCCUUAAUUCUUUACUAGAAAUUAUGGUGGUAUAUGGUCCGGCUGACCAUUCUAUGUCAUAUAUUUUUCUGGAUGAACUUCGUAAUAAAAUUGAAUCUUGUGAGUUACCGCUAAUGAUUGGGGGAGACUUCAAUUUGAUG